rnacentral:rRNA from 1 species
UACAGAGGGUGCGAGCGUUAAUCGGAAUUACUGGGCGUAAAGCGUGCGUAGACGGUCAUGUAAGUCGGGUGUGAAAGCCCCGGGCUCAACCUGGGAAUUGCAUUCGAGACUGCAUGGCUAGGGUGCGGAAGAGGGAAGCGGAAUUUCCGGUGUAGCGGUGAAAUGCGUAGAUAUCGGAAGGAACACCAGUGGCGAAAGCGGCUUCCUGGUCCAGCACCGGACGUUCAGGCACGAAAGCGUGGGGGAGCAAACAGG